rnacentral:rRNA from 1 species
GACGAACGCUGGCGGCGUGCUUAACACAUGCAAGUCGAACGGAAAGGCCCUGCUUUUGUGGGGUGCUCGAGUGGCGAACGGGUGAGUAACACGUGAGUAACCUGCCCUUGACUUUGGGAUAACUUCAGGAAACUGGGGCUAAUACCGGAUAGGAGCUCCUGCUGCAUGGUGGGGGUUGGAAAGUUUCGGCGGUUGGGGACGGACUCGCGGCUUAUCAGCUUGUUGGUGGGGUAGUGGCUUACCAAGGCUUUGACGGGUAGCCGGCCUGAGAGGGUGACCGGCCACAUUGGGACUGAGGUACGGCCCAGACUCCUACGGGAGGCAGCAGUGGGGAAUAUUGCACAAUGGGCGGAAGCCUGAUGCAGCAACGCCGCGUGCGGGAUGACGGCCUUCGGGUUGUAAACCGCUUUCGCCUGUGACGAAGCGUGAGUGACGGUAAUGGGUAAAGAAGCACCGGCUAACUACGUG